CCGGUCUUGAACUCCUGACCUCAGGCGAUCCACCCACCUCGGCCUCCCAAAGUGCUGGGAUUGCAGGCGUGAGCCACCGCGUCGGCACCAGUUUUUAUCAUUUGUUCUCCAUAGCUUCAUCUCUGGUUGGCAUCACAGCACAGAGAAGCAGGCCACUCUCUGGGACCAGGUUGAAUCUCUCCAAGGAACAAAGGCUGCUACUGCAAGGGUGUUUCUUAAGACAACCAUAAGUUUUUAUUCUGGGGACUUGUUCAGGUGCUGGGAACUCCUUGGCAACACACGUUUCCCAUCCCUUUACCACCAACACAUUUUCACGUGCAGAUGUUCCAAUGACAACACUCCCAUUAGUUUCUACUUGUGGGGGGCCAAACCUCUUGCCUGAGUCAGACUUAGAAAUAAGCAACUAUAUAAGCAGAGAACUGACAAGAGGGAAAUUUUUGUCCACUAAGGAUUCAUCUUGAGCAAAGUUACUUGUCUUACACAAAGAGGGUUGAGGCUAGGUGCAGUGGCCCACACCUGUAAUCCCAGCACUUUGGGAGGCUAAGGCUGGUAGAUUGUGUGAGCCCAGGAGUUCAAGACCAGCCUGGGAAACAUAGUGAGACCCCUAUCACUACAAAAAAUACAAAAAUUAGCCAGGCACCGUGGCGCACACCCGUAGUAGUCCCAGCUACUGGGAGGCUGAGGUGGGAGGAUCACCUGAGCCUGGGAGGUUGAGGCUGCAGUGAUCCAUGAUUGCACCACUGCACUCCAGCUUGGAUGACAGAGUACGACCCUGUCUCAAAAAAAAAAAAAAAAAAAGUUGGUUUUAUGAAGCUUUGUGAAUCUCCUGAUAGGCCUUAGUACAAUUAAACACAAUGAAGACAAUUGCUUUCUACUUACACGGGGCCUGGGGAUUGUUUCCCAUUCACUACGCCAUUUCUUCUUCCUGGGUGCACAGGAAGACUCCGUUUCCCAGUAGCCCUUGCUAGGGUGAGAUCAUGUGACUGAGUUCUUGCCAAUAUGGAUGUGAGUGGAAGUGAUGGUUGCUAUCAGUUCAACGUGUUAGAGCAGGUGUGAGCUCUUCACACUUUUGCUCUCUCAUCAGGGGCUGUUAGCAAAUAACUUCCAGAUGGCAGAUCUGUGAGAGGGAAGCAUACUGGAUUCCUGAGUUGCUGCAGGAGGAGAGCCACCUGACCUCUGAACUCAAGGGAGCCACUUUUUGUGUUUGCCCCCUGAGCUUUGGGGAUUACUUGUGCCCUUGGCCCACCCUGAUUAACAGAACACACUUCUGCGAUACUACAUUCUCAGAGGGGUUACGGGACCUUAGAUAUCUGAGCCCUGCACUGUGUCCCUAGAGACCUCAUUCUGGGCUGCGUCAAUCUAUUAAUCAAUAAUCAAGGAGUAUAAUCAUUCUUGGAAGCAUCUCAUUAAUGUGGGAGAUUAGGAUGCAUUUCUCAUGAAGUUAAGAGCUCUCCUUUGAAACUCAAUCAGUAAGUAGGUACCCAGUUCCCCUCUUUGGCCAGCUCACAGUGUCCAUUUCAGACCCAAAAAUGAAUUCAAGGUGUCAGAGGCAUUCAAACUAGAGCAACUCCAUCUUGAACAGGAGCUGGGUAAAAUAAGGCUGAGACCUACUGGGCUGCAUUCCCAGGAGGUUAAGGCAUCCUUAGUUACAGGAUGAGAUAGGAGGUUGGCACAAGAUACAGGUCACAAAGACCUUCCUGAUAAAAUAGCAUGUUGUAAAGAAGCUGGCCGAAUCCCACCAAAACCAAGAUGGUGACGAAAGUGAUUUCUGGUCAUCCUCACGGCUCAUUAUAUAUUAAUUUUUGUGCAUUAGCAUGCUAAGAGACCCUCCCGCCAGCGCCAUGACAGUUUACAAAUGCCAUGGCAAUGUUAGGAAGUUACCCUUCAUGGUCUAAAAAGGGGAGGAACCCUUAGUCCCAGGAAAUGCCCACCUCUUUCCUGGAAAACUCAUGAAUAACCCACCCCUUGUUUAGCACAUAACCAAGAAGUAACAGUAAGUACAAGUAGCUGAGCAGUCCACGAGCAGCCAUUCUUUAUUCCUUUACUUUCCUAAUAAACUUGAUUUCACUUUACUGUAUGGACUCACCCCGAAUUCUUUUUUGUGUGAUAUCCAAGAACCUUCUCUUGGGGUCUGGAUUGGGACCCUUUUCUGGUAACAAAGGGAAGAGAAUCAGAACGCUACCUCACUCCGAGUCGUGAACACGAGAAGAGCUUGCUAUCUAUCAUGACUGAUAUUUUUUAUCAUGGUGUGAAUAAUUGGCCACUAUUAGUCAAAACACUCCCCAAAAGCAAGAGGCUCUCAGCUGAGAAUGCUCACCCCUUCUCCAAAUGCACUAAUCAGACAGCUCGCUCCUCAGCCUGUGGGGCCACCAUGAGGCCCCUCCCAAAAUACCCAUCGCUGUUCUCCCUGAGGAGCCCCAGGGCUGCUGUAGAUUUGUUCUCUAUAAGACUCUGAAAUGGGUAAAAAUAAUACUUAUUAAAAUAAUUCCAAAAGCAUUUUAAAC
rnacentral:lncRNA from 1 species